rnacentral:rRNA from 1 species
GACGAACGCUGGCGGCGUGCCUAAUACAUGCAAGUAGAACGCUGAAGCUUGGUGCUUGCACCGAGCGGAUGAGUUGCGAACGGGUGAGUAACGCGUAGGUAACCUGCCUGGUAGCGGGGGAUAACUAUUGGAAACGAUAGCUAAUACCGCAUAACAGUAGAUAUCGCAUGAUAGCUACUUGAAAGGUGCAAAUGCACCACUACCAGAUGGACCUGCGUUGUAUUAGCUAGUUGGUGAGGUAACGGCUCACCAAGGCAACGAUACAUAGCCGACCUGAGAGGGUGAUCGGCCACACUGGGAGUGAGACACGGCCCAGACUGCUACGGGAGGCAGCAGUAGGGAAUCUUCGGCAAUGGACGGAAGUCUGACCGAGAAACGCCGCGUGAGUGAAGAAGGUUUUCGGAUCGUAAAGCUCUGUUGUAAGAGAAGAACGAGUGUGAGAGUGGAAAGUUCACACUGUGACGGUAUCUUACCAGAAAGGGACGGCUAACUACGUG